rnacentral:rRNA from 1 species
AGAUUUCCGAAUGGGGAAACCCACUCCGCAAGGAGUAACUCUGACUGAAUACAUAGGUCAUUGUGGCGAACCGGGUGAACUGAAACAUCUCAGUAGCUCGAGGAAAAGACAUCAACCGAGAUUCCGAAAGUAGUGGCGAGCGAAAUCGGAACAGCCUGUGCUCUUUAGCAGUCGACUUAUUGGAACGGAAUGGAAAGUCCGGCCAUAGCGGGUGAUAGCCCCGUACAGGAAAUGACUUCUGUGGAACUAAGUGCACGACAAGUAGGGCGGGACACGUGUAAUCCUGUCUGAAUAUGGGGGGACCAUCCUCCAAGGCUAAAUACUCGUAAUCGACCGAUAGUGAACAAGUACCGUGAGGGAAAGGCGAAAAGAACCCCGGGAGGGGAGUGAAAUAGAUCCUGAAACCGCAUGCAUACAAAAAGUAGGAGCCGCAAGGUGACUGCGUACCUUUUGUAUAAUGGGUCAGCGACUUACAUUCAGUGGCAAGCUUAACCGAGUAGGGGAGGCGUAGGGAAACCGAGUCCGAACAGGGCGUUCAAGUCGCUGGGUGUAGACCCGAAACCAGGUGAUCUAUCCAUGGCCAGGAUGAAGGUGCGGUAACACGCACUGGAGGUCCGAACCGACUAGUGUUGCAAAACUAGCGGAUGAGCUGUGGAUAGGGGUGAAAGGCUAAACAAACCUGGAGAUAGCUGGUUCUCUCCGAAAACUAUUUAGGUAGUGCCUCAAGUAUUACCAUCGGGGGUAGAGCACUGUUAUGGCUAGGGGGUCAUGGCGACUUACCAAACCAUUGCAAACUCCGAAUACCGAUGAGUACAGCUUGGGAGACAGUGCACCGGGUGCUAACGUCCGGACACAAGAGGGAAACAACCCAGACCGCCAGCUAAGGUCCCCAAAAUUGGCUAAGUGGGAAACGAAGUGGGAAGGCUAAAACAGUCAGGAUGUUGGCUUAGAAGCAGCCAUCAUUUAAAGAAAGCGUAAUAGCUCACUGAUCGAGUCGUCCUGCGCGGAAGAUGUAACGGGGCUAAGCCAGUUACCGAAGCUGCGGAUUUGCAAUUUAUUGCAAGUGGUAGGAGAGCGUUCUGUACGCCUGUGAAGGUGGAUCGUGAGGUCUGCUGGAGGUAUCAGAAGUGCGAAUGCUGACAUGAGUAGCGUUAAAGAGGGUGAAAAGCCCUCUCGCCGAAAGCGCAAGGUUUCCUACGCAACGUUCAUCGGCGUAGGGUGAGUCGGCCCCUAAGGCGAGGCAGAGAUGCGUAGCUGAUGGGAAACAGGUCAAUAUUCCUGUACCGAUCUAUAGUGCGAUGUGGGGACGGAGAAGGUUAACUCAGCCGGGUGUUGGAUGUCCCGGUUCAAGCCUGUAGUCAUGCCUGGUAGGCAAAUCCGCCGGGCUUAGAUGAGGGGUGAUAACGAGUCUGCUUGCAGACGAAGUGAGUGAUACCCUGCUUCCAGGAAAAGCCACUAAGCUUCAGCUAUAGACGACCGUACCGCAAACCGACACUGGUGCGCGAGAUGAGUAUUCUAAGGCGCUUGAGAGAACUCUGGAGAAGGAACUCGGCAAAUUGACACCGUAACUUCGGAAGAAGGUGUGCCUUUAGUAGGUGAAGUCCCUCGCGGAUGGAGCCCAAUGAGGUUGCAAAGAAUCGGUGGCUGCGACUGUUUAAUAAAAACACAGCACUCUGCAAAGACGAAAGUCGACGUAUAGGGUGUGACGCCUGCCCGGUGCUGGAAGAUUAAAUGAUGGGGUGCAAGCUCUUGAUUGAAGUCCCAGUAAACGGCGGCCGUAACUAUAACGGUCCUAAGGUAGCGAAAUUCCUUGUCGGGUAAGUUCCGACCUGCACGAAUGGCGUAACGAUGGCCACACUGUCUCCUCCAGAGACUCAGCGAAGUUGAAAUGUUUGUGAUGAUGCAAUCUCCCCGCGGAAAGACGGAAAGACCCCAUGAACCUUUACUGUAGCUUUACAUUGGACUUUGAACAGAUCUGUGUAGGAUAGGUGGGAGGCUUUGAAGUAGGGACGCUAGUUCUUAUGGAGCCAACGUUGAAAUACCACCCUGGUGUGUUUGAGGUUCUAACCUUGGUCCGUGAUCCGGAUUGGGGACAGUGUAUGGU